rnacentral:rRNA from 1 species
GAUGAACGCUGGCGGCGUGCCUAAUAAAUGCAAGUCGAGCGAACAGACGAGGAGCUUGCUCCUCUGACGUUAGCGGCGGACGGGGGAGUAACACGUGGAUAACCUACCUAUAAGACUGGGAUAACUUCGGGAAACCGGAGCUAAUACCGGAUAAUAUAUUGAACCGCAUGGUUCAAUAGUGAAAGACGGUUUUGCUGUCACUUAUAGAUGGAUCCGCGCCGCAUUAGCUAGUUGGUAAGGUAAAGGCCUACCAAGGGAACGAUGCGUAGCCGACCGGUGAGGGUGAUCGGCCACACUGGAAGUGAAACACGGUCCAGACUCCUACGGGAGGCAGCAGUAGGGAAUCGUCCGCAAUGGGCGAAAGCCUGACGGAGCAACGCCGCGUGAGUGAUGAAGGUCUUCGGAUCGUAAAACUCUGUUAUUGGGGAAGAACAAAUGUGUAAUUAACUAUGCACGUCUUGACGGUACCUAAUCAGAAAGCCACGGCUAACUACGUG